GAGGAUAUAGCUCAAGUGGUAGAGCACAUGCCUAGUGUGCACAAGUUCCUGGGCUCAAUCCCCAGUACCUCCU
rnacentral:tRNA from 1 species